GAACUCCUUGCAUAAACUUGUAGUUUAUUUAACCAUGUCAAGAGGAAAUGACUCGCGAAUUUAUGUUGGUAAUUUGCCACCCGACAUUAGAGCAAGAGACAUCGAGGAUUUAUUCUACAAAUUUGGGAGAAUUACGUUUGUCGACUUGAAAACGCGAAGAGGUCCACCAUUUUGCUUUGUAGAGUUUGAAGACCCAAGAGAUGCAUCAGAUGCAGUUCAUGAAAGAGAUGGUUAUAACUAUGAUGGAUACACCCUGAGAGUUGAAUUUCCUCGAGGUGGAGGACCAGGGGGACCAAGAUCAGGAGGAGGGGGUUAUGGUGGUGGUGGUGGCUUCCGUGGAAGCAGUCGUGGAAUGGGUGGAGGUCGGGGCGGACCUCCAUCCAGAAGAUCUGAAUACAGAGUUUUGGUAUCUGGAUUACCUCCUUCUGGUAGUUGGCAAGAUCUCAAAGAUCACAUGAGGGAAGCAGGAGAUGUGUGUUAUGCUGAUGUCUACAAAGAUGGAACUGGAGUGGUGGAAUUUCUCAGAAAAGAAGACAUGAAAUAUGCUGUACGCAAACUAGAUGAUUCCAAGUUUAGAUCCCAUGAGGGAGAAGUGGCAUACAUUCGAGUAAAGGAAGAUUACAGAGGAGGUGGAGGAAGAUCAAGAUCUCGAAGCAGGAGUGCUUCACCCCCAAGGCGCUCCAGGGCAUCCCCCAGAUAUUCUCCUGUCAGAAAUCGAUCUAGGUCUUAAUCAUAAUUUCAAGGGUCCCAGGAUCAUGAAGAAAUGGAGUCAGAGAGAAGUUAUCAUAUCACAUCCAUUUUGAAGACUGUUAAUGGUUUUUGCUCUGUUGGAAAGUUUGGAUCAAUAUGAUGGGAAGCUUGGAUAUUUAGGAUAACAAGCUUUGAUCAUUGGAUAAUCAUGUUUGGAUAUUAGGAUACAAGCUUGGAUAAUUGGGAUAACUAGCUUGGAUCAUUUGGGAUCAAGGGAUCUGGAUUUGGGAUUUAUCUCUCCCUCUCAAAUUAUGGAAUCAGUGCGGAUGGAUCCCGAUGCCCAAACUGAAGAUUUUUGGAAUUAAGGAAUCCAUCCUAUUAGGCAUUUCAGGGUUAAGGCUCAAUUUCCAAGGAAAGUCUGACAGUAAAGAAAAUUGCUCUACUUUCUCUCUGUGUUAAGGUUACAUGAUCCAAAAUUUAUGAUCAAAGAGUGUCUGGUGUCCAUCCUUCCUUGGGUUGAAAUUCAUUUCUAUGUUUACUGGCAUAUGUUGGCUAGUGGAAAAAAAAUCUUCCAGCAAACUUGAAGUUUCACUUGCAUUUUUCCGUUUUUGUGCUACUUGAUCAUUUCUGUGAUAAAAAAAAAUACAGACUUUAUUCAAUCUUUUUUUAUGCCUCUAAGACUCUCCAUCAAUAAAAAGAGAGCAGUAAAAAUAUCAUUCAUCAGAUUAUAACAAAACUUUUUGAUUGAACAGAAUGUACACAUGUAAAAAAAAAAAAAAAAAAAAAAAAAAAACACACAUCUAAUUAAUGUUGUUAAGUCGUUUGGUAUGGACGAUCGGUAAACUUUGGUUUCACCAGAUUUUGAUAGAAAAAAUAAGAUUAACUUCCUAAAAUUCUAAAUAAUUUUUAAAGAUCGGCAACAUUUUACACACUAUGCUAAAGCCAGACAUAGUUUAGAAUUAGCUGUGUUGAAGUAUGACCUCUGGUGCAAGGGUAGGGACACAAUAAAGGAGGCAAAAUUGAAUAUGGGAAAGAUGUUGGGAAAAAUCUAUGAAAAUGUUGUUUGUUUUUUUUUCCUCAAGAACAGCAGGGUCAGAAUUGAUGAAAUAGUUCAGAAUCCCCAUAUUAUGUUCUAAUUAUGGCCUUGGGACAAGGACUGGAUCACUGUUGGGGAGAAAGUGUCUUAAAGUUCACAAGAAUAAAAUAUAAAAAGCUGCAAUUUGUAAAGUUGUCAUUAAGCCUCAACAUACGCAAUUACUCAAAACAUGGACUGUAAUUUGGAGACCACAUUAUCUACAUAUACAUAUUCGUUUGUCAGAAAAGAAAUGUUGACUAUGUGAGCAUUGUGGUCCAUUGGCCCUUUUGUCAGAAGAAAGAAGUACGUUAUUUUAGUAACUGUUUGAGCAAUUUUGUUCACUGCCAUUUUUGUUCUUGGACACCUUUUAAUUUAUGGAAGGAUUUGCUCUACUCAGGAUAAAUUUAUGCUGGGAAUAACACUAGGUGCCCAGUUGGAAACAUGAGAGGAGUGGAUGGAUGGAUCACAUUUACAUCAUGGAGUAGGAUUUUGAAAGGAAACAGAUAUCCUUUCAAAAAAUAUCAGUGGCAAAAUACAAAAGAUGUAUUAUUUCUAUGGAGGGUGGUUAAGGGUCCCUAAAUACAAAAAAAAAGCCAAACAGGUAUUCUUAAAACGGUUUACAAAUGAGUUUCAGUUGAGCAGGACACUUAGUGCUAUAGUAAUUGUGGAAAAACAUCUAUUAUAAGGUAUAAUUAUAGCAUAUUGAGUCGGAUCUUGCUUCUCAUGGGAUCUUGCAACUUGUUCAGGAAGUUCUGAGGAGGAUUCUUUUUGGAGUAAGCAAUGGAUAGGCAUUUGGUAAGUGGGUAAGAAUAUCUGGUUAAAUAACAAGGUAAAGGGGGUGUAUGUGUCUUUUUUUUGGCAUCAAAGAGGAAUGCACUGAAAGGUGGUUCUUCACAGGGAAUUCAUAAUUGUAGAUAGUGAAGAAUACCAAAAUGAUUUAUGAAAGCACAUAGUAGAAAAGAAAACAUUUCCAAGGGCUUUGAUAAACAAAAUUAUGUAUAUUUUUCACUAUAUUUAUUGCAGCUUUUAUUUCAGCUCAUUCAAUAAAUAUUCUUACAACAAG